UACGUAGGGUGCAAGCGUUGUCCGGAAUUAUUGGGCGUAAAGAGCUCGUAGGCGGUUUGUCGCGUCUGCUGUGAAAACCCGAGGCUCAACCUCGGGCCUGCAGUGGGUACGGGCAGACUAGAGUGCGGGUAGGGGAGAUUGGAAUUCCUGGUGUAGCGGUGGAAUGCGCAGAUAUCAGGAGGAACACCAAUAGCGAAGGCAGCUCGCUGGGACGGUACUGACGCUAAGGCGCGAAAGCGUGGGGAGCGAACAGG
rnacentral:rRNA from 1 species